AACUUUCAACAACGGAUCUCUUGGUUCGGGCAUCGAUGAAGAACGCAGCGAAAUGCGAUACGUAAUGUGAAUUGCAGAAUUCAGUGAAUCAUCGAAUCUUUGAACGCACAUUGC
rnacentral:rRNA from 1 species